UGGAGUCGGAACUCGAACCCAGGACGGGGGCGUAGGGCGUGCCUGCGUGUGGCAGAGGGACGCGCGGCGCGAAUGUCCCCAGGUGCCCCCAUCCCGCGCAGCCCACUGCCCAGUCCUCAGGAAUGUGCGGGAGCAGAGGCCGGAAGCAGCUGCCCGGUCCCCAAGUCUGCUAGGGCGCUGAAUAGGCGGAGCGGGCCCAGCUUUGCCUUAUAAGGCCCGGCCCCACGGGGAGGGGCCCGGCUCAGGACGCCCCCGUUCCUGCCACGAGGCCGGCAGGGGCCGGGACGGCGCGCGGGGAGCAGCGAUGGCGGUAGGGGCUGAUCCCUGAACAACGCCCGAGCUUCCUUCAGUGUGGACCUCCAAGAGAUGAGGGUGCUCGGGCAGCUGGCCUGACUUUCUGUUUGGGAUGCUCUGAUUCUGCCACCCCCAUCAGGACUCCUGACUUCUUGAGGGGAAGUUGAGCUGACCGAUCAGCUGCUGCCUGGUGCUGGUGCUAACAUCCUUGUCCUGCUGUGUUGCUCCACAGCCUCUCUGUGCAAAGAGGUUCUCCCAGACUUGACUUUCCCAGCGUCAUGGUCCCUUCUGGAACUCAGAUCCUGACACAGCUCCUUUGAGCAGGUGAUUUCAUGUCUAUGAGUGGCAGCAUCCUGGCUGUCAAAGCUACUGUGAGAAAAGUACAUCGAGCUUGCUCCCUGCUAUGCGCUAGCAUUAUUAAUCAUUGUUGCUAUCAUUAUCACUGGGCCAGCUUUCCAGGGUUGGGCACUGCUAAGGCUGUUACUCAGAAGAGGCAGAUCCAGCCUCCCCACACCUGUGGCUGCACAUGGGCGAGUCCCUAGCAGUUACUGUUUAAACAGGUGGUGGCAGUACGGGGCUGGGAGGGACCAAGGCUCAGCACCUGGCAGAGACAGCCACAUGCCAAAGGGUCCUCUGCACCAGCCACACGGAACCAGCCUGGCCUUGUUCUCUUGACCCCCUCCUCCUGACUCAUCCUCCAUUACCUCUGCCUCUCAGCUGAAAAGUUGCCUGGAUUGGCCCCGGCUCUCUGACCUGGCUUACCCGCUCCAUAGUAAAGUCAUGGGGCA